rnacentral:rRNA from 1 species
AACAAACGCUGGCGGCGUGCCUAACACAUGCAAGUCGUGCGAGAAAGUUCCCUUCGGGGAGCGAGUAAAGCGGCGAACGGGUGAGUAACACGUGGGCGACCUGCCCUUGGGACGGGGAUAAUGUGCCGAAAGGUGCGCUAAUACCCGAUUUGACCACACGGACUAAUGUCCGAGCGGUAAAUGGAUGGCCUCUACUUGUAAGCUAUCGCCUGAGGAUGGGCCCGCGGCCUAUUAGCUAGUUGGUAGGGUAACGGCCUACCAAGGCUAUGAUGGGUAGCCGGCCUGAGAGGGUGUACGGCCACACUGGAACUGAGACACGGUCCAGACUCCUACGGGAGGCAGCAGUGGGGAAUUUUGCGCAAUGGGGGAAACCCUGACGCAGCGACGCCGCGUGAGCGAUGAAGGCCUUCGGGUCGUAAAGCUCUUUUAGUGGGGAAGAAAUGCAUCGGCGUGAAUAUCGCCGGUGCUUGACGGUACCCACAGAAAAAGUCCCGGCUAACUCCGUGCCAGCCGCCGCUGUAA